GACAGAGGUGCCGAGCGUUAGGCGGAAUCACUGGGCUUAAAGCGUGUGUAGGCGGACGAUCAAGUACCUUGUGAAAUCCCACGGCUCAACCGUGGAACCGCUGGGUAUACUGGUUGUCUUGAGCCGGCUAGGGGCGAGCGGAACAGACGGUGGAGCGGUGAAAUGCGUAGAUAUCGUCUGGAACGCCGAAGGUGAAAACAGCUCGCUGGGGCCGCGCUGACGCUGAGACACGAAAGCCAGGGGAGCGAACGGG
rnacentral:rRNA from 1 species